rnacentral:tRNA from 1 species
ACGAUUUAAAUUUUCCUGGGAAAUAUAUUAUUUACGAUAAUAUUUGAUUGUUCGAUUCAAUAUUUUAAA